GUAAAUAGUGAAAGCGCCGAAGUUAAGCCGGGCCACUCUAAGGUUUAUUUAUUACCGGCCACAAACUUCCAAACUCUUUACGGUGGGGGGAGGAAAGGUCAGGUUUAUUUAUUACCGGCCACAAACUUCCAAACUCUUUACGGUGGGGGGAGGAAAGGUCAGGUUUUUAACGUUAAUCUAGCUUAGUUGCAUAUUAAAACGGAGGCUUGGCCAAGGAGUUCAAAUUGGAUUGAUUCCUCCCGGUUCAUUUCAAAUCUAAUGUGCAAUUUUGAUUAGUAUACAACGCAGCCGUAGAGUGUAACCACGUGGUGUUAAAGAGACGGCGCGUCUUCGUGACGUGGGUUUCCUUUGUCCAGACGUCCGCCAUCUUGGGUCUUGCAGAGACCAAGAGCAGCGGGGAGCCUAACUACAGUGUUACAUUCUCUCCC
ensembl:lncRNA